GUGCCAGCCGCCGCGGUAAUACGUAGGUGGCAAGCGUUAUCCGGAUUUACUGGGCGUAAAGAGUGCGUAGGCGGUUCUUCAAGUCGGAUGUGAAAUCUCCCGGCUUAACCGGGAGGGGUCAUUCGAAACUGUUGGACUCGAGGACAGCAGGGGGAGGUGGAAUUCCCGGUGUAGUGGUGAAAUGCGUAGAUAUCGGGAGGAACACCAGUGGCGAAGGCGGCCUCCUGGGCUGUUUCUGACGCUGAGGCUCGAAAGUGUGGGGAGCGAACAGGAUUAGAUACCCUGGUAGUCCACACUGUAAACAAUGGACACUAGGUAUGGGGAGUAUCGACCCUUUCUGUGCCGAUGCUAACGCUUUAAGUGUCCCGCCUGGGGACUACGGCCGCAAGGCUAAAACUUAAAUGAAUUGACGGGG
rnacentral:rRNA from 1 species